rnacentral:rRNA from 1 species
UACGUAGGGUGCGAGCGUUAAUCGGAAUUAUUGGGCGUAAAGCGCGCGCAGGCGGUCCUUUAGGUCUGAUGUGAAAGCCCACGGCUCAACCGUGGAGGGUCAUUGGAAACUGGGGGACUUGAGUACAGAAGAGAAGAGUGGAAUUCCACGUGUAGCGGUGAAAUGCGUAGAGAUGUGGAGGAACACCGAUGGCGAAGGCAGCCCCCUGGGCUAACACUGACGCUCAGGCACGAAAGCGUGGGGAGCAAACAGG